GGAAGACUAUGCCAAUUUACUUGAUGAGAUAGAUUCAGAAGAUGAAGAUGAACUAUUAGCAAGUGGAGCUACUCAAGGAUUGGAAGAUGAUUGAUUAUUUGGUGAUGAAUGGAAUGAGUUCUAAAGCAAUGAAAGACUUCAAUUUACUUAAUGGGAAAGAUUUUGAAGGUGAAG